rnacentral:rRNA from 1 species
UACGUAGGGGGCUAGCGUUGUCCGGAAUCAUUGGGCGUAAAGCGCGUGUAGGCGGCCCGGUAAGUCCGCUGUGAAAGUCGGGGGCUCAACCCUGGGAUGCCGGUGGAUACUGUCGGGCUCGAGUCCGGAAGAGGAGUGUGGAAUUCCUGGUGUGAGCGGUGAAAUGCGCAGAUAUCAGGAGGAACACCAGUGGCGAAGGCGGCUCACUGGUCCGGUACUGACGCUGAGGUGCGAAAGCGUGGGGAGCAAACAGG